UUAAAUUGAAGAGUUUGAUCAUGGCUCAGAUUGAACGCUGGCGGCAGGCUUAACACAUGCAAGUCGAACGGUAACAGGAAGCAGCUUGCUGCUUUGCUGACGAGUGGCGGACGGGUGAGUAAUGUCUGGGAAACUGCCUGAUGGAGGGGGAUAACUACUGGAAACGGUGGCUAAUAC
rnacentral:rRNA from 1 species